rnacentral:rRNA from 1 species
GAUGAACGCUAGCGACAGGCCUAACACAUGCAAGUCGAGGGGCAGCACAUGAGUAGCAAUACGAUGGUGGCGACCGGCGCACGGGUGAGUAACACGUAUGCAACCUGCCUUCUACUAUGGGAUAACCCGUUGAAAGACGGACUAAUACCGUAUAAUACAGGGGCUCCGCAUGGAGAUAUUUGUUAAAGAUUUAUUGGUAGAAGAUGGGCAUGCGUAUGAUUAGAUAGUUGGUGAGGUAACGGCUCACCAAGUCAACGAUCAUUAGGGGUUCUGAGAGGAAGGUCCCCCACACUGGUACUGAGACACGGACCAGACUCCUACGGGAGGCAGCAGUGAGGAAUAUUGGUCAAUGGACGAGAGUCUGAACCAGCCAAGUCACGUGAAGGAAGACGGUUCUAUGAAUUGUAAACUUCUUUUGUGCAGGAAUAAAGUGGGUUACGUGUAACCUUUUGUAUGUACUGUACGAAUAAGGAUCGGCUAACUCCGUGCCAGC